UAUGCUCGGUUCCUUCCUACACCCGAGAAACGAGCAGGGUGUGCGUGCGGUUCUCCCAUCGUCCUCUCCUGGUUUCUUUCCCUCUCCCCGAAACCCUAGGCCGCCGGCGACGCCGCCAGCCGCCGCCCAGCGAGCUCGCACCCUCCCUCCGCCCUCCGUCGCGCGGAUCUGCGCCGGGCUCGGUCCACCGCGUCGGCCGCCGGAGCGGGCGCCGCCGCGCGCGUCGGGGCGCGGCUGCUGGGUAGUCGUGCGCCUGGCCGUGGGGGCAGCCGCGGCGCCGCCGGGGCGCGCGAGCACGCGCCCUCCCUCCGCUCUCCCUCGCGCGGAGCUGCGUCAGGCUCGGUCCCACCGCGUCGGGCGCCGCCGGGACACUAAUCGGCGGCUCGCACCUUUUAAUCGCAGCCGCCGCCUCAUCCUUCCUGGCACCUGCUGGUGAUAUAGCACUAGCAGGGGUGGUGGUGUACCGGUUGGGGAGUUGGGAGGGAGGUUGGUGCCGCCGUUGAGGCCGCGGAUGGUGGCCAUCGGCGGAGGGGGCCGACGGUGGGCCAUGCGUGCGGCGGCCAGCGCCGUGCCGUGGACUCCCCAGCGCCGUCUCGUGGUUUCAUGCUGUGAGCUAGUACUGCUGUUCAUUCGUCAUUCUAUCUGAAGUUUAUAUGAAAUUUUAUGGUGCGGAUUUGUGAUAUGGUGACUAUAGCACGCCAUCUAAAUCUAACAUUAGUGGUCCCUGAACUGGACAAAAAGUCUUUUUGGGCUGAUCCAAGGUAUGAUUCUCCAUACUGCAGAGUGUAGGAUGAAUUUAGCAGCAUAGAAAGAAUGAUAAGAAGCACUUCUUUUGUAGAUAUUACCUCUUGCAAAGAAGCACAAAGUGAUCCAUUUUGAUCCAUUGCAAGGAGGCAAUUUGUUGUGCUUCAUUUGCGUUAUGAAAUGGACAUGCUCUCAUUUUCAGGCUGCACACAUGGCUCCUCUAGUAAAGAAACCGAGGAACUCACUAGGAUGAGAUACGCUUAUCCAUCCGGAAAGAAAAGGAGAUCGAUUCUGAACAAAAGAGGCUUCAGGGACUUUGCCCCCUCACACCAAAAGAAAUUACUCUAGUUCUUAAAGCUCUAGGAUUCACAAAAGAUACACUGAUAUACAUCGCUUCUUGUGAAAUUUAUGGUGGUGAAUAAAGUGUGACUCCUGAGUGUGAGUAGUUUUUGUAUGUCAUGAAGCAUCAGUUUCUUUUAGCAUGCUAGAGGAACUACUUUUUUUGUUGUGAUGUUUCAUAUCAUGGUCAUGUAAUUUAAGGCACUUGUGGUUUGCAUAACUAGUACUUAUGUUGGUGAAAUGAAUAAGUACUUGUUAUUUGUUGCUCUAAUUGCUGAAUAAAAAAUGGUGUGUGACUCCCU